ACUGAGUUCAUCCAUUGGCUCAUUCUGAACUGCUGCUGAGAAGAGAAGUACUGUCACACUGACAGACUGACAAACUUCAGCUAGUUCCUCCUGUUGAUUGAAUCCUUGUUGUAGAGAUGGAGCGUUGGCUGUGGAUCAUUCUGGCUGCUCUUUUCUUUGGGUGUAAAGGAGAAGACACAGUGACCCAGCCAGCAGAGGAUGUUGUUGCUUCAGAGGGAGACACUGUCACACUUGGCUGUACGUUUGAGACAACUAGAACGAAUCCCUAUUUGUUCUGGUACAGACAAGAAGUUGGUGAUUUCCCAAAGUACAUGCUGAGAUGUUUCUCAGAAAACACAUAUUUUGCUCCUGGGAUCAACGAGGACAGAUUUAAUGCUGCAAUCAACGAGAAAUCAGUUCCUCUGAAGAUCCAGAAGCUUCAGCUGACUGACUCUGCUGUGUACUACUGUGCUCUGAGGCCCACAGUGACAGGAAACACCAACACUCUGUACAAAAACCUUUGGAGCAAACACAACACAAUACUCCACAACAUCCACUAGAGGGCGUCUCUCCCUCUCCAACUUAAAUUGAGUGUGGUGAUGGAGACUAAAUCAUGAGUGUAUUUUUCUGUCGAUGUAAAAAGGGAAAUGAAGAAUGGUUCAAACACAGAGCUACAGAAGGUUUUGUUGUGUAUUGA